rnacentral:rRNA from 1 species
CACGUAGGGGGCAAGCGUUGUCCGGAUUUAUUGGGCGUAAAGAGCUCGUAGGUGGUUCGGUAAGUCGGAUGUGAAAUCUCCAGGCUCAACCUGGAGGGGUCAUUCGAUACUGCCGUGACUAGAGUUCGGUAGGGGAGUGUGGAAUUCCUGGUGGAGCGGUGAAAUGCGCAGAUAUCAGGAGGAACACCCGUAGCGAAGGCGGCACUCUGGGCCGAUACUGACACUGAGGAGCGAAAGCGUGGGGAGCGAACAGG